rnacentral:rRNA from 1 species
GGCUUAGAGUUUGAUCAUGGCUCAGGAUGAACGCUGGCGGCGUGCCUAACACAUGCAAGUCGAGCGAAGCACUUUACUUUGAGAUCUUCGGAAGGAUAAGUUUAGUGACUGAGCGGCGGACGGGUGAGUAACGCGUGGGUAACCUGCCUCAUACAAGGGGAUAACAGUUAGAAAUGACUGCUAAUACCGCAUAAGACCACAGCACCGCAUGGUGCAGGGGUAAAAACUCCGGUGGUGUGAGAUGGGCCCGCGUCUGAUUAGGUAGUUGGUGAGGUAACGGCUCACCAAGCCGACGAUCAGUAGCCGACCUGAGAGGGUGACCGGCCACAUUGGGACUGAGACACGGCCCAAACUCCUACGGGAGGCAGCAGUGGGGAAUAUUGCACAAUGGGGGAAACCCUGAUGCAGCGACGCCGCGUGAGCGAUGAAGUAUUUCGGUAUGUAAUGCUCUAUCAGCAGGGAAGAAACUGACGGUACCUGACUAAGAAGCACCGGCUAAAUACGUGCCAGCAGCCGCGGUAAUACGUAUGGUGCAAGCGUUAUCCGGAUUUACUGGGUGUAAAGGGAGCGUAGACGGACUUGCAAGUCUGAAGUGAAAGCCCGGGGCUCAACCCCGGGACUGCUUUGGAAACUGUAGGUCUAGAGUGCUGGAGAGGUAAGUG